UCAUGCAAGCGGUUGGUAGUAAGUACUAUUAAGUACAACGUGCGCUGCGAUGUUGCAGCAGUGUUAUGGAGAUCUGAUUAGAUCCAGUCUGAUUGUCCUUGUCCUUGCCGCUUGGCUUGUGAAGUGUGGGAUGCCGUUUUCGUUGGUGUUACGUCUCCUGUGUUCUCUUCUACAUUGUGGUUGGGGAGCAUUCAUGUAGUCCCCCAUCUCGCCGUACCAGUCCUGUAUAGGGACAUCUUGUAGAUCCAGUGCUUGGAUGAAUGUUGG